GCCCACAUAGCUCAGUCGGUAGAGCACAUCCUUGGUAAGGAUGAGGUCACCAGUUCAAAUCUGGUUGUGGGCUCCA
rnacentral:tRNA from 1 species